UUCUCCAUUUCUUCUUCCAUUUCCACCGCGAUCUCCUCCCCCUCUUCUUCUCCUCUCCUCCCAUGAGGCAAGGAGGCUCGGGAGGGACUGGCAACGGCCGAUGGCGUUGGGCGGCCGGCCUGCGGCACCCACGGUCACGCCCGUGGCCGUGCUUGCAGUCGUGCCCGUGGCCGUGCCCGGGGCCGCUUCGGCGGCCCGUGGCCGCGUCGGCAUCCCGCAUCCCACGGCCCGCGGCCGAGCCGGGAGGUGCCUGUGGCUGAGGGUUGGACGCCGACGACUCCAGGUCCAUUUUAGAAAGGGUCAUGUUCUUCAUAAUUGCAAAGGGAUCAGUCAGCAGCCAAUUUCACUAAAAGUUUUGGUAGGUCUGCUACGUCGAUCUCUUUAAAUUUGGAAUGGCCUCCUGUAUGUUUAUUUUAAUUAUCACUUAUGGCAAUCACUUUGGGGUUCAUUAGCAUAACAAAAUCCAUGUAUUUAUUUUCUAAAUGUUUUUUUUUCUUUUGUGGUGCAUGUAGAUGGUUCACAUCACUUGUUUUCCUUUCUGUAGUUGGUGAACAAUGAAUUGAAAACCUUUCUAGAA